CCGUGCCGCAACGCAUAGAAGCCACCCUGGUGUCAAGCGGUGUAUCUCCCCCUGGAUUCCUCGUCGACGGGGAUGUUCGGCGCCUCGGUGUCUGCUCAGUACAUCCUGGGGCUGUAGUAGGUCCCAAGGGUUGGGCUGUUCACCCGUUAAAGUGGUACGCGAGCUGGGUUCAGGACGUCGUGCGACAGUUCGGUCCCUAUCCGUCGCAGGCGUAGGAAAUUUGAGAAGACCUGUCCUUAGUACGAGAGGAGCGGGAUGGACGUACCUCUGGUGUACCAGUUGUCCUGCCAAGGGCAUGGCUGGGUAGCUAUGUUCUGAAUGGAUAAGCGCUGAAUGCAUCUACGUUUGAAACCAACUCUUAGAUAAGACUUCCCACCGCAACGGUAAGACCCCAGAAAGACUAGCUGGUUGAUGGGUGUAACGUGUAAGGGCCGCAGUGUAUUUAGCUUAUCGAUACUAAUAGGUCUGGGACUUGAC
rnacentral:rRNA from 1 species